UUGGCCCAGGGGUAAGUCGCUCUUUUCCCUUUAAUUUGGCGCCACACGAAAUUUAUAAUUUUUCAGAAUAGCCAAAGUGUUCAGUUUUAGCGAUAGAUGGUGUGUACCAAAAAUUUUUCGUCUGCACUUAAACCGUGACGUUUUAAAGCCCAAAAACGUUUUUCGUCACCCGUCAGUAACUUUUUUUUCCCGGAGUGAUUUCCUUUUCAUCAAUUAGGUAUUGAGUGUGCAAGCAAGAGAUUUGCUUUUUCAGAAAAAUUACCAAAAACCAUGUUGAAGAGGAAAGACUUUAAGUGUUACAAUUUAAAGAGCCAUUGAAAUGGUUUUAAAAGAAAUGUCUAGAAAAAAGUGCCUGCAAACUUAAAUGUGUUUUCUCAAGGUUAUACCAGGUUUUCAUGGAUGAAGAAAGGGCUGUACUAGUUCAUUAUUUCCAUCGAUCAGCA